AUCUUCCCGAUAGAGAGGUUGCCAUAGCAACCGUGGAGAGAUGAAUUAACCAGCACGCCAUUCAGUCACAAGGUGCUGGCUUGGAAACUGCUCGGCAUGGUGUCGCACCUUCUUUUGAAACGUGAUGGGUCUGCACGGCCCAGCAUCUACUUUCUAUUUCUGUGUUUCAGGCACGAUUGUUCGUUAAGGUAUUUGAUUCGCUAUAGAAUUAAGACUCCCAGAGGGGAGAAGAAGAGGCAGGGUGGGGAAUAAGAUGGAAGACUGGCAAACUCUGACAAACCCAGAACAACUUUCCAGAAAGUGUCAGGGCAGGGGUGGCGGAUCAAACAGAAUGGACGCCCUUCAGAAGCAGGUGCAGAAGGCGAAUGAGAGCUUAUAGACUUCAGACAGGAGGUAGACUACAAUGCACAGACACAUGGGAGUCACCAGCGCUCAGCCCUCUUAAAAACCAAGUGAAAUGGGAAGAAGCCCACCCAGCAUUCAAGGUUACUGUGGGACCACACAGCGCUCAGUUUCUCUAAGUUGACAUUUGUAUGCACACUUUAAAGUGACCAGUCUCCCCCUGCCAGAAAGUAAGUUUAAUCUUCAAGUACGUGAGGAUUGCAAUUUUCGUUCUGGGAAGAACCCAAAACCUGAACUGCAGACAGGGUCCCACUCCUAUGGGUUACAAGGAAUGCAAAGAAGCCCUGACAGCCUUGGGAAUCCAUGAAACUUCUUGGGAGUGCAAGAGAAGAGACUUUUCUGUGAGAGCUUAGGUAGAGAGAGGACCCAACUUCACUAUGAAAAUACCACUAAAUUGCCAAAGACAUGCUCCCAUCCUUGAGGAGGACAAUCAGACUUGCAUCAGCACUAUCUUUACAUGACAUGAAUAAAAUGACCCCUACACACACACACAUAAACACACACGCACACGCAUACACACACACACACACACACACACACACACACACACUGACAGACUGAAUGAUACCCUGGCUUUUGAGCACAAGUCAGGUUCACAACAGAGUCUUUCAGAACCAAGGUGGGGUCGGAGGAGUAGGCGGAAGCCUCUGUCUUCCUACAGUAGCCCCAGAGUCAGGGCCGGAAAACUUGGAACGUGAGACCUCCCACUACACUUGAAGGCUCAAAACGAAGGUUUUGUCUUUGGUGUCUUUCCAUUCUCCAUCUCGGCAAGCUUCAAAUCCAGCUAGGAGGCUGACACUGUUGGAGGCUGAUAAUGAAUUUUCACUGAGGAGAAGAGCUGCUGCCGGGAGUGAUAACACGCUUGAAUGGCGAGCAGUUCAGCUCCGGGAGCCUUUUGCAACCGUCCACUGAUACAGCCUUGGGGCAGAACAGAGGUGGCCUGAGAGACUCAGCGUGCCUGGAGACAGAGCAGGGAGCAACUGGAUCCGGCUGUGGUUGAUUGGGAGGGUGACAGUGGCAGACACAGAAGCCAGCACAUAAGCACAUAGUUUCUGGGAGAAACCUGGUGAGCCUGUGAUAUGCAGAUGAAGUGUCUCUGGGGACAAAGGCUGUGAUCUGAGAUCAGAAGUUCUCAUGUUCUGGGUAGUGCAAGAAAGUUGAAUGCCAUGUUCCCAGCACAUGUUUGCUGUCCUGAAGUCCCUGUCAGCCUAGCCUGCAGGACUGUCUUCCACCCAAUGACGUGAUACCUUGUGGUUAAACGUCAUCGUCACUUGUCUAGAUUCUGUAUCGCCAUCAACACACACCUCUGGGCUUCUAGAAAGAUUUUACCGAAGAGGGCUGCCAUAAAAUGAAGAGAACCACGAAUGCCUACACAGUUUGCAAGGAUCGAUAUGAAAUGAAAAUACAGUGCUCUUUGCUCAAAAGCAGGGGAAACACCACUAAAGAGCCUAAAACACAAGCACUGCUCUCCUGCAUGUGCAUCUGAGCAUGGGAGCUCCUCUCAAAGGUAUUCCUGCCCGAUGUCACCUGCCGUGUUGUGAAAAGCUCUUAGUAAGAGCAAGUGCACUGCUGUUUGAGCUUUCUCUCUCCAAAACUAAGAGCUGCAUAGAUAAACUUCUUUUCCUAUAGAAAGUACUCGGCCUCAGGUAUUCUGCUACGGAACAGAAAACAGUAGACAUGGAACUCC